CAUAUAUUCGAAUAAAUACUGUAAUCCGUAUAAAUGAACAACAUACAUACAUAUGUAGGUUUAAAACGUAAGUCAGAGCGAAAUGAGCUAUGACACCGGCCCAUGCGCUGGCCAAACCUACCUAUGUACAUAUGUAUGUAUGUAUUUGUUUCUCUUCGGUUCUUUCAUUUCCGCGCGUUUCGUAACAGAAUUCGGCUCUGCUGAUCGUGCGCAGUAGAAUUAAAUUUGGUAUUUUCUUUUAAUUUUUGCGCGUGCGUCCACAGAACUCUCAUAUCCUGUUCAUAUUUAUCAUAUUACAUUGUUAAAAUUGUGCGCAAAAGACUGAGAAACGAAACUUCAUCCACUGCUUCGACCCUUCAGCACCUAAAAGCAGGCGGUCAGUCAUCGUCAGCGAAGGCACCUAACACCUAAAAGCUAAGUUCACGGCCGCGGCUUCUACAAAAACACACAACCAAUAACGAAACGUAAAUGG
rnacentral:sRNA from 1 species